AACGAACGCUGGCGGCAUGCCUAAUACAUGCAAGUCGAACGAACUCUUCGGAGUUAGUGGCGCACGGGUGCGUAACGCGUGGGAAUCUACCCAGAGGUUCGGAAUAACGGUUGGAAACGACUGCUAAUACCGGAUGAUGUCGAGAGACCAUAGAUUUAUCGCCUGUGGAUGAGCCCGCGUAAGAUUAGCUAGUUGGUGAGGUAAAGGCUCACCAAGGCUACGAUCUUUAGCUGGCCUGAGAGGAUGAUCAGCCACACUGGGACUGAGACACGGCCCAGACUCCUACGGGAGGCAGCAGUAGGGAAUAUUGGACAAUGGGGGCAACCCUGAUCCAGCAAUGCCGCGUGAGUGAUGAAGGCCUUAGGGUUGUAAAGCUCUUUUACCCGGGAUGAUAAUGACAGUACCGGGAGAAUAAGCUCCGGCUAACUCCGUGCCAGCCGCCGCGGUAAUAC
rnacentral:rRNA from 1 species